rnacentral:rRNA from 1 species
AUUGAACGCUGGCGGCGUGCUUAACACAUGCAAGUCGAACGAUGAAGCUGGAGCUUGCUCCAGUGGAUUAGUGGCGAACGGGUGAGUAACACGUGAGCAAUCUGCCCUUGACUCUGGGAUAACUGCGGGAAACUGUAGCUAAUACCGGAUAUGACACCUUGGGGCAUCCCGAGGUGUGGAAAGAAUUUCGGUCAAGGAUGAGCUCGCGGCCUAUCAGCUUGUUGGUGAGGUAACGGCUCACCAAGGCGACGACGGGUAGCCGGCCUGAGAGGGUGACCGGCCACACUGGAACUGAGACACGGUCCAGACUCCUACGGGAGGCAGCAGUGGGGAAUAUUGCACAAUGGGCGAAAGCCUGAUGCAGCAACGCCGCGUGAGGGAUGACGGCCUUCGGGUUGUAAACCUCUUUUAGCAGGGAAGAAGCGAAAGUGACGGUACCUGCAGAAAAAGCACCGGCUAACUACGUGCCAGCCGCCGCGGUAA